GGGCGACCGAGGAGAGGCUGGAUCCAAAGGAGAACAGGGCAGACCUGGGGAUCCUGGACAACGUGGUGAGCCUGGGACGGUCUCGAAUGUUGAACGUGCCCUGGAAGCCUAUGGUAUUAAG